AAGUGUUCAACCACGGCACGCAAAUCAUCAACCUCUCUCCAAUAAUUACCAUAUGCAAAUGAACCUUCACUUUCUCCAUUUCCAGCAAAGUCAAAACGGAAAGCACUGAUUCCUUCAUUUUCUAAUGCAACAGCAAGGUUCACCAUGGUUUCAUUUUCCUUAGUGGAACGAAAACCAUGGCAUAAGACAACAAUCUCCUUAGAUCCAGUAUCAUGUAAUAAGCCCACAAGUUUUUC
rnacentral:misc_RNA from 1 species